rnacentral:rRNA from 1 species
GGGGGGGGGGGGGGGGGGGGGGGGGGGGGGGGGGGGGGGGGGGGGGGGGGGGGGGGGGGCGGGGGGGUGACGGAGGGGGGAGGGAUGCGUCGGGACGUGGCCGGGGGGGGGGGGUAACGGGGGGAAAGGUGUGCUAAUACCGCAGCCGAUCUGCGGAUGGAAGGAUGGGACCGCCAGGGCUUGGGCGGGAGGGGCGGCCGAUGGCAGAUUGGGGAGGUGGUGGGAUAACAGCGUACCAAGCCGACGAUCUGUAGCUGGUCUGAGAGGAUGAUCAGACACACUGGGACUGAGACACGGCACAGACUCCUACGGGAGGCAGCAGUGGGGAAUUUUGGACAAUGGGCGCAAGCCUGAUCCAGCCAUGCCGCGUGCAGGAUGAAGGCCUUCGGGUUGUAAACUGCUUUUGUACGGAACGAAAAGCCUUCUUUUAAUACAGGAGGGUCAUGACGGUACCGUAAGAAUAAGCACCGGCUAACUACGUG